GUGGAUAUAGUCUAAUGGUAAAACAACUGUAUGUGGCAUAGUAUAUCCUUGUUCAAGUCAAGGUAUCCUCC
rnacentral:tRNA from 1 species